rnacentral:tRNA from 1 species
GCCUCCGUAGCUCAGUGGUUAGAGCACUGGUCUAGUAAACCCGGGGUCGGGAGUUCAAUUCUCCCCGGAGGUA